rnacentral:rRNA from 1 species
UUAAGCAUAUCAAUAAGCGGAGGAAAAGAAACCAACAGGGAUUGCCCUAGUAACGGCGAGUGAAGCGGCAACAGCUCAAAUUUGAAAUCUGGCUUCGGCCCGAGUUGUAAUUUGCAGAGGAAGCUUUAGGCGCGGCACCUUCUGAGUCCCCUGGAACGGGGCGCCAUAGAGGGUGAGAGCCCCGUAUAGUUGGAUGCCUAGCCUGUGUAAAGCUCCUUCGACGAGUCGAGUAGUUUGGGAAUGCUGCUCAAAAUGGGAGGUAAAUUUCUUCUAAAGCUAAAUACCGGCCAGAGACCGAUAGCGCACAAGUAGAGUGAUCGAAAGAUGAAAAGCACUUUGAAAAGAGGGUUAAAUAGCACGUGAAAUUGUUGAAAGGGAAGCGCUUGUGACCAGACUUGCGCCUGGCUGAUCAUCCGGUGUUCUCACCGGUGCACUCUGCCAGGCUCAGGCCAGCAUCGGUUCUCGCGGGGGGAUAAAGGCCCUGGGAACGUAGCUCCUCCGGGAGUGUUAUAGCCCAGGGUGCAAUGCCCUCGCGGGGACCGAGGUUCGCGCAUCUGCAAGGAUGCUGGCGUAAUGGUCAUCAGCGACCCGUCUUGAAACACGGACCAAGGAGUCAAGGUUUUGCGCGAGUGUUUGGGUGUAAAACCCGCACGCGUAAUGAAAGUGAACGUAGGUGAGAGCUUCGGCGCAUCAUCGACCGAUCCUGAUGUUUUCGGAUGGAUUUGAGUAGGAGCGUUAAGCCUUGGACCCGAAAGAUGGUGAACUAUGCUUGGAUAGGGUGAAGCCAGAGGAAACUCUGGUGGAGGCUCGCAGCGGUUCUGACGUGCGAAUCGAUCGUCAAAUCUGAGCAUGGGGGCGAAAGACUAAUCGAACCAUCUAGUAGCUGGUUACCGCCGAAG